GUGAAGGUGGCUCAGUGGUAGAGCGCUUGCCUUGCACGCAUGCGGCCCUAGGUUUGAUUCCUCGAUUCCUCA
rfam:Dipodomys ordii contig_92620, whole genome shotgun sequence.